rnacentral:rRNA from 1 species
CCACGAUGCACGCGCCCCCAGGGCAGCACCCACGCGCCCCUCGUCCUUUCUCCCUUAUCCCCACCCCCACCGCACGUCUCUCUCUCCCUCUUGUUUCUCUCCCACUCGAUCCAAAUCGAGCACGCCCCCCGGCCAUGGCCUCGCACCCAACCACUUCGCGGCCACCUCCCCCGUCGCCACUGUAGGCCCGCCGGCGGCCGCGGCCACCUCCCCCAUCGCCAUCGUAGGCCUCGCCGGCGCCCGCCACCACCUUGCUAGCCGCCAUGUCGCCGGCCGGCCCCGGCCACGCUGGCCAUCAUCUCGCCCGCCGGCCCCGGCCUGGUCACCCCCGGCGGCCUCCGCGCCCCGGCGCUCGUCACCCUCGGCAGUCUUCGCGCCCCGUUGCCCCCGGCGGCCCCGACCCCGUCACCCCCACCGGUCUCCACCCCGGGCACCGGCCGCGGCCUCGAGGUCGCGUGCUCUGCCUCGCGAGCUCCACCGCGACAGCAGCCGGGGACUCCGCCUUGCGAGCACUGCCCAUCCAUGACCUCCCUUGCGUGCCUCCCGAGCGUGGCUGGGACGGAGUCGCGCGGCUAAGCAGGUCCAGACGGCGGCGCGCGGCUGAGUGGGUCCAGACGGUGGCGCGACGAGCAGGACCGGGAGGCAGCGGGACGAGCAGGACAGGGAGGUAGAGUGGCGCGGCGGGCGUCGGGCUGGAAGUUUGGGCGAGCAAGCCACUCCAGCGAAGAAGAAGGACCCGAUUGCUUUUCCAUUUUAUGUUUUAGGGUCCUUUGUGUAAAUUAGGGUCCUUUGUGUAAAUUUGAAGGACUAUUCUCUAACUUUAGUUCUCUGGCGGUCCUAUUUACACUUUGUACUCACUAAUGAUGAAUGAAAGGCAGUUGGUACGGACAGGCCAGAAAUAUUAGAUAUGGCACUGCACUUGCAUGCGUUGACCGCGUCGUUCGGGGGAGCAACGCGGCUGUGUUUUCUUUAAUUUGAC